CCCAGACUCCUACGGGAGGCAGCAGUGGGGGAUAUUGGACAAUGGGGGAAACCCUGAUCCAGCGACGCCGCGUGAGUGAAGAAGUAUUUCGGUAUGUAAAGCUCUGUCAGCAGGGAAGAAAGAAAUGACGGUACCUGACCAAGAAGCCCCGGCUAACUACGUGCCAGCAGCCGCGGUAAUACGUGGGGGGCAAGCGUUAUCCGGAAUUACUGGGUGUAAAGGGCGCGUAGGUGGGCGCUUAAGUCAGGUGUGGAAACUCCGGGCUCAACCUGGAGACUGCACUUGAAACUGGGUGUCUUGAGGGCAGGAGAGGAAAGUGGAAUUCCUAGUGUAGCGGUGAAAUGCGUAGAUAUUAGGAGGAACACCAGUGGCGAAGGCGGCCUGCUGGGCUUUUACUGACGCUGAGGCUCGAAAGUGUGGGGAGCAAACAGGAUUAGAUACCCGAGUAC
rnacentral:rRNA from 1 species